CGGGCUUCGAGCCCGUUUCAGACAACACUUCUUUCUAGGGAUUUGAGAAACAAGAGCGAUAUGGGAAUUAAUCGUGCGACUGUAGGGAUUGUUCAUCACUCCGAUCCCUCGCUCCACAUUGGCGCACAAAUCCUGCAUCAUUCGAGCCCGUUUCUUCUCAAACUUUUCGUUUUUGUUCUUCAGGCGAAGUACGAUCACAUCGGUUAUCAAUGGAGCUUAUCAACGUAAUAAAACAAAGGUUGAUGGCCAUGAGCUCAGGAGUAUUUUUCUUCUAAAUAUGAUCGGCCAGAUCUCGAUCUUUCUUUUGAAUUUCUCAAACAAUGAAUGUUUUAAGGGCUUUGUGAAUAGAUCUGCGAUUUGCUAAUCACUUAUGCAAAACUUGAGCUCAACAGUGCUUUUUAUACAUAAAUCACGCAAGAAAAACAAAAAUUUGAUAUGCUUAUUCCUUCCAUACUAAUUUUUAGACAACUUGAUAGUUGACAUAUUAUCACAGUAGAUAACAGUCGAGCCUUGUUGCUUAUGAUCAAGAAUUUCAAGUAUCUUGUUUAGCCAAAUUGCUUGGCACGAACAUGCUGCUUCUACCACAAACUCUGCUUACAUGUUGAAAGUAUCACAAUAGACUUGUUUGAAGACCAACAAAAAUUUUCUGAACUCAUCAUGAAAACACAACUCGAAGUACUUUUGCGAUCAUUAUGUGACACUCUCAACUACAAGUAGAGUUUGUGGAAGUAGCACCAUGGCUCGUGCCAAGCAAUUUGGUUAAGAAAGAUGCUUAAAAUUCUUGAUUAGAAGCAAUCUGGUUCGAUUGUUAAUAUCUCAACUAUCAGUUGUCUAAAAAUCUUGUGUUGCAUGGAAGAAGUACAUACAUCGAUGUUUAGUUUCAUUUCUUGAGUGAGUUGUGUAAAGAAGACACUAUUGAACUCAAUUUUUGCUAAAGUGAUGGACAAAUUGUAGAUCUGUUCACAAAGUCCUUAAAACAACCAUUGUUCGAGAAGCUUAUAAGAAUGACGAGGAUGUGCAGAAGAUCCAAGAUGUGGUUCAAGAAGAUAAAAUGAAGUCCUAAACUAUUUUAUGUAGAAUUCAAUUUGAGGAAGCAUGUUAAGAGUUACCUACAUGAAGAUUCAUUGGUUGAUAAUAAAUUAGUACAUGCAUUCUUAGUUACAUGUGUUAGAUUCAUACAAUCAUGUUUUUAGAUACAUGAAUGGUAUCGAAGAAUGAUUAUGGCACUACGUGGAAAAUUAAUAAUGUAAUAUUUUGCAUCAUUAUUCUAUUUGCAAAAUCCAUGACCUUGCCAAUAUAGUCAUUCUCUGCUUCUCCCUUAUGCAUUUUGCAUUUGGAGAAUUUGAAAUUGUCUGAUGCUGAACACACUUCAUUCUUGUU